rnacentral:lncRNA from 1 species
AUCAAACAUGUUGACCAAAAUAUUGGCUUAAGUGGUGUAGUCUACGUGUUUACUAAAUUUUAUGUCUUCCUAAAAUGUCAACUUGCGUUCUCAUUUUCAUCAUUUAUUCAUUAUCAUUAAUGUUAUUUAAAUAACACUGAAAUAGAUUCUCCAGACAAGGUCUUACGCAAAAUUUAUAGUCUAUACAUUAUCAUCGGAAUUUUCUUCAACGGAGUUAUUCUUCCUACAUCUCACUCAGUUCAUCCUGCACCUCCUUUUUCUUUUAUAGUUUCUACUGUAUCCCUUUUAGAAAAUAUUUUAGUUUAUUUUAGAUUUUAAAAAAGGCUGAAUAUUGAAUAAUAAAAAUCGAAGAACAAAUCUUCCUCCUAUGCCUGUCAUAUCUCAAGUUUAAAAGUCCUACACCCCCUUUCUUCAUCAUUCCUCCUCUUUGCUACACUUCAUGUUUAAACACUUCUUUUUUUCUUCUACUCUUCCUCUCCUCUUUCAUUUUUCAUCAUUUCAUUUUAAGGUAUUUUUGCUGCUGAUCUGUUGUAGUGUGAAAGAAAUGCUUGAUUUUUUGUUUGAUCUGGGGAUGAG